rnacentral:rRNA from 1 species
AUUGAACGCUGGCGGCAGGCCUAACACAUGCAAGUCGAACGAGUGGCGGACGGGUGAGUAAUGUCUGGGAAACUGCCCGAUGGAGGGGGAUAACUACUGGAAACGGUAGCUAAUACCGCAUACCAUCGGAUGUGCCCAGAUGGGAUUAGCUAGUAGGUGGGGUAACGGCUCACCAGGGCGACGAUCCCUCGCUGGUAUGAGAGGAUGACCAGCCACACUGGAACGGAGACACGGUCCAUACUCCUACGGGAGGCAGCAGUGGUAAAUAGUGCACAAUGGGCGCAAGCCUGAUGCAGCCAUGCCGCGUGUAUGAAGAAGGCCUUCGGGUUGUAAAGUACUUUCAGCGAGGAGGCGUUACUCGCAGAAGAAGCACCGGCUAACUCCGUGCCAGCAGCCGCGGUAAUUC